UGGAGCUAUAAAAGGACUCACUAAGGCUGGAAAUGGCAGCCCCAAAACACCUUUCAACGUACUUCCUCUCUACCUUUUCCUAUCCUAUGUUCCAAAUCCAUCAAGAACGCCUCCACCGGAGGUGUUUGCUGGCAGUUUCCAGAGAGACAAAAAGGCAACACCCUCACGAUUUCCUUCCCUGUUUAAUCACUUUUCGAGGUAGCCCAAGCACUACCUUGUGAUCGAAGUUGCUGCCACUCGUUCCCCUCCUUGGUAACCGCUGAAACAGGAAGAAGAGGAGGCGAGAAGGCUGUCGGAACAACUUCCGGCCACCCUAUUUCCGUCGACAGCCACCGGGGCUGUUUUGGGUGAAACAACCGAGUCUUGAACGAAGCAAAAAUAUCACCGAAACCUCGGUCCAAAAUCGAGAAUCACACGCUCAAUGUGAGUCUUUAUGGGCCCGUUUUACAUUGUUCAAUAGUUUUGGGGGGAGAUGCAUACUUAAGUGUUGUGUUAUAAGCUUGAUGAAUAAUAGAUUUAUAGUUUACAUGCAUGUAUAACUAGUGUUACAUUUACAACUCUUGAUAGUUAAACAUGUCACAAA